CCUACGGUGGGCAGCAGUGAGGAAUAUUGGUCAAUGGCCGAGAGGCUGAACCAGCCAAGUCGCGUGAGGGAAGACGGCCCUACGGGUUGUAAACCUAUUUUGUCGGGGAGCAAAGCGAACCACGUGUGGUUCAUUGAGAGUACACGAAGAAAAAGCAACGGCUAACUCCGUGACAGCAGCCGCGGUAAUACGGAGGAUGCGAGCGUUAUCCGGAUUUAGUGGGUUAAAAGGGUGCGCAGGCGGCGGUGCAAGUCAGCGGUCAAAUUGCGGGGCUCAACCCCGUACUGCCGUUGAAACUGCAUCCCUUGAGUGCGCGAGAAGUAUGCGGAAUGCGUGGUGUAGCGGUGAAAUGCAUAGAUAUCACGCAGAACUCCGAUUGCGAAGGCAGCAUACCGGCGCGCAACUGACGCUCAUGCACGAAAGCGUGGGUAUCGAACAGGAUUAGAUACCCUGGUAGUC
rnacentral:rRNA from 1 species